GAGGAUAUGAUGAUCCUUUCCCCAGAUGAUCGACAAUGAACAUGCUGAGCGCUAUAAUUUUCUCUUUGGAGAAAACCAAGCCAGGACUCUGAUCCUC
rnacentral:snoRNA from 1 species